AGUACAGCUCAUCAAUCAUUUAAUGUUAAAAAUUUUCACACUGUAAACGUGUAAUAUUACCUACAUUUAUUAUGUAAUACCCACCCCAGACUUUUUUGGUGACUAGGAUGGGUUAAAAAUAAUGGCAGGUUAAAGUCUUGAAUCUUCUAGAUUUUUGUUU